rnacentral:rRNA from 1 species
UACGAAGGGGGCUAGCGUUGUUCGGAAUCACUGGGCGUAAAGGGCGCGUAGGCGGCUAUUCAAGUCGGGGGUGAAAGCCUGUGGCUCAACCACAGAAUUGCCUUCGAUACUGUUUGGCUUGAGACCGGAAGAGGACAGCGGAACUGCGAGUGUAGAGGUGAAAUUCGUAGAUAUUCGCAAGAACACCAGUGGCGAAGGCGGCUGUCUGGUCCGGUUCUGACGCUGAGGCGCGAAAGCGUGGGGAGCAAACAGGAGUUAAGAAA